AUCCUUGCACUCGGGGCAUUAAGCUAGGCAAUGACGUUUUACGGACGCCAGCUUUUUUGCGCAUUGAAAAUUACAUUUUCCAUACCCCUGAUUUCUUCCAACGAAGAGAUCGACUUUUUAGCUACCCUCGCGG
rfam:Nannochloropsis gaditana strain B-31 chromosome 11, whole genome shotgun sequence.